rnacentral:rRNA from 1 species
UACGUAGGGUGCAAGCGUUGUUCGGAAUUACUGGGCGUAAAGCGCGUGUAGGCGGCUAUGUAAGUCGGGCGUGAAAUCCCACGGCUCAACCGUGGAAGUGCACCCGAAACUGCGUAGCUAGAGUCCUGGAGAGGAAGGUGGAAUGCUUGGUGUAGAGGUGAAAUUCGUAGAUAUCAAGCGGAACACCGGUGGCGAAGGCGGCCUUCUGGACAGUGACUGACGCUGAGACGCGAAAGCGUGGGGAGCAAACAGG